GGAUUAAAGGCGUGUACCACCAUUGCCCGGCACCACAAGUUUUAAAAAAGAUUUAUUUUAUUAUAUGUAUGAGUAUUUUGCUUGUGUGCAUGUUGCACACCACAUGCCUAUAGUGCCAAAAGAGGGCAGCAGAUUGUUUAGAAGUAGAGUUCCAGACAGUUGUGAGCUGCCUGCCCUGUAGGUUCUAGGAACCAAACCCAGGCCCUCUGUAAUAGCAGCCUCCUGACAGCCAGGCAUGCUCUCCUGGCUUGGGGAGCUGUUUCAAAUCCGUAACAGCUUUCCCCAUACUGUGAAGUAGUAAUUCACAUUCCUAGAUAAAAACUCAGGAAAAUGAAAUUGCUACGGCCUUCACCCUACCUACAUGUGUCCCUGUGGCUUUCCUACUAAAAAUGGGAUGAACCCUCUCAGCUUGCCCGUCCAGCAGGUGCAGCCUGUUACCUGCCCUGUGUUCUUUCAUGCCUCCUGCAUACUCAGUGGUUUCUUUUCACUGGCUUAUUCCAGUGAUGUGCAAAAUUUAUCUCUAACUGCCUCCCCACUCCAACCAUGCUUGGAGAAACACACCCAUAACCAGCACGGGGCAAGGUCACUCUCAGCUCUCUUCCAGGUUGAGCUCCCACCCCCUCAUAGAUGAGACUGUCCAUUUUACUCUAUCGGUGACCUACUACCUCCUUUCUCCCUUCAUCCUCACAGCAAAACUCAAAAUAGUCACAUGCACAGUCUCCCCUUCUCUGUUAUCUAGGUGCCUGACACUUACCCUGGUCAUCUUUAAAGAUGUUGUUGACGUCUGUGGUCAGCUUCACUUCCUUUUACUGGGCCCGUCAGCAGCAUUCAGCAGUUUCUCUGUCAUGCCUAUCACUUGGUUCUAAGACACAUUUUCCUCUGGGCUUCCCACCCCCACUCCUCACUCCCUCUUCCUGCUUGUGUGUCUGGAACUCAGAUCUGCCUGCCUCUGACUUCUGAGUUCAAAGUCAAGACUUGUGCCAACAUGCCUGGCUUCCAGCUUUCUCCCCAUGCUGGAUCCUUACAUCCUUUCCAGGAGAACUCUAUCUUCAUCCCUGAUGGGCUCCAUCCUCAGAGCUCCCUCCCCAGACAGGCUCCUUCAGUCUCACACCUGAAAGUACCAUUCCUGCUUCCAUAUCCAGUUGGCACUCUUCAAUGUCAUCAUCCCAGAUCACCAUGCCGAUGCCUUUUCUCCUCCCCGCCUCGCCCCCUCUGGCUCUGUGGACCAGCUUGUGGAAGGUCUUCUGGGUGGUCUGUCUCGAUGGGAUGCUGAACACUUCCUGUUUAUUGCUGAGCACGGCUACCUUUAUGAGCACAACUUUGCCUUCUUCCCUGGCUUCCCCUUGGCCCUGCUGAUGGGGACUGAGCUGCUGAGCCCGUUGCAGGGCCUCCUGAGCCAGCGCAGUUGCCUGCUGGUCUCAGUAGCACUUCUCAACUCCCUGUUCUCUGUGCUGGCUGCAGUCGCACUGCAUGACUUGGGUUGUCUGGUUUUGCGCUGUCCUCGCCAGGCCAUUUGUGCAGCGCUGCUCUUCUGCCUCAGCCCUGCCAAUGUUUUCUUGGCAGCUGGUUACUCGGAAGCUUUGUUUGCCUUCCUGACGUUCAGUGCCAUGGGGCAGCUGGAGCGGGGCCGAGGCUGGGCUAGUGGGCUGCUCUUUGCUCUUGCGGCUGGGGUGCGCUCCAAUGGGCUGGUCAGCGUUGGCUUCCUCCUGCACUCUCAGUGCAGAGCCUUUUGUUCUUCUCUGGUGGUGCUGAACCCCUGGAAACAGCUCAUCAAACUGGUGGCCUCUCUGUGCUUGUCAGUGUUCACAGUCAGCCUCCCCUUUGCCCUCUUUCAGUAUUAUGCCUACACCCAGUUCUGUUUACCAGGCUCAGCCCACUCCAUCCCUGAGCCCUUGUUGCAGCUAGCUUCGGACAAAGGCUACCGGCUUGCAGGAGAAAAUGAGCCCCCAUGGUGCUCCUGGGAUCUUCCUCUAAUAUACAACUAUAUUCAGGAUGUCUACUGGAAUGUUGGUCUCCUGCGAUAUUAUGAGCUCAGACAGGUGCCCAACUUUCUACUUGCUAUACCAGUGACUGUACUGGUUGUGUGGGCAACCUGGACAUAUGUGACUACCCACCCUUGGCUCUGCCUUACACUUGGGCUGCAAAGGACCAAGGACAAGGGGAGCCUGGAGAAGCCCCACUUUGGCUUCCUCAGUCCAAAGGUGUUUGUGUACCUGGUCCACGCUGCAGCGCUGCUGGUCUUUGGAGGUCUGUGCAUGCAUGUCCAGGUCCUCACACGGUUUUUGGGCUCUUCCACUCCUGUCAUGUACUGGUUUCCAGCUCACCUGCUUCAAGAUCAAGAGCCACUGUUGAGGUGUGAGGACACAGCACCUCAGAAGCCUCUGGAGGAUGGUGCCACCCCAGGACAAAGGGCUCCCAGAAACUGUGUCGUGAAACUCCUGUGCAACUGGAAGACCUGCUCUCCAGUCACAAAAUACAUCCUACUCUACUUCCUGACCUACUGGCUUCUGGGACUAAUUCUCCAUUGCAACUUCCUGCCUUGGACUUGACCUGGAGUGUCAAGGGACAAGCUGGAAGCUAAUUUAACCCAGGGUUGAAAGCUCUAAGACACACUGGCAGGGACUGCCUGCACACCCUGGAGAGCACUGUCCAGUAGGAUCUCCCUGGAGGCCACUUAUGAAGGGAAAAUGUGAAAAUAGGAGCCCCUUCUCAUCCUGGGUGGGGUCGCUGAGGCGGGAGGAGAGCUUGAGGACUGCUACAGAACAAGACCCCGUGUAACUGAAGAGAGUGUCCCUGCUGCACAGCGUUCCUGCAUACUUGAGCCAGGUAACUUUG